GACAGCAGGACUGGACCUGGCUCGGGGCAUCCUGUGGAGCAAAUUGUGCAGCAUCUCUGACAGAAUCGGAGGGACAGACAUGGAGCCUCAGGGACCUUUCCUGAUGUUGGUUGAGGCAUUUGAAGGGAAAUCACAGUGCUGAUGCCACUCACAAGUUGGCCAACCCAAAAGUGAAUACAACCCAAGUGCGAGGAAGGCUGGA